AGCUCAGCCGGACAGAGCAAUUGCCUUCUAAGCAAUCGGUCACUGGUUCGAACCCAGUA
rnacentral:tRNA from 1 species